rnacentral:rRNA from 1 species
GAUGAACGCUGGCGGCGUGCCUAAUACAUGCAAGUCGAGCGAACGGACGAGAAGCUUGCUUCUCUGAUGUUAGCGGCGGACGGGUGAGUAACACGUGGAUAACCUACCUAUAAGACUGGGAUAACUUCGGGAAACCGUAGCUAAUACCGGAUAAUAUUUUGAACCGCAUGGUUCAAAAGUGAAAGACGGUCUUGCUGUCACUUAUAGAUGGAUCCGCGCUGCAUUAGCUAGUUGGUAAGGUAACGGCUUACCAAGGCAACGAUGCAUAGCCGACCUGAGAGGGUGAUCGGCCACACUGGAACUGAGACACGGUCCAGACUCCUACGGGAGGCAGCAGUAGGGAAUCUUCCGCAAUGGGCGAAAGCCUGACGGAGCAACGCCGCGUGAGUGAUGAAGGUCUUCGGAUCGUAAAACUCUGUUAUUGGGGAAGAACAUAUGUGUAAGCAACUGUGCACAUCUUGACGGUACCUAAUCAGAAAGCCACGGCUAACUACGUG